GUAGGGUGCGAGCGUUAAUCGGAAUUACUGGGGCGUAAAGCGUGCGCAGGCGGUUUUGUAAGACAGAUGUGAAAUCCCCCGGGGCUCAACCUGGGAACUGCGUUUGUGACUGCAAGGCUAGAGUACGGCAGAGGGGGGUGGAAUUCCUGGUGUAGCAGUGAAAUGCGUAGAGAUCAGGAGGAACACCGAUGGCGAAGGCAGCCCCCUGGGCCUGUACUGACGCUCAUGCACGAAAGCGUGGGGAGCAAACAGGAUUAGAUACCCUGGUAGUCCACGCCCUAAACGAUGUCGACUAGUCGUUCGGAGCAGCAAUGCACUGAGUGACGCAGCUAACGCGUGAAGUCGACCGCCUGGGGAGUACGGCCGCAAGGUUA
rnacentral:rRNA from 1 species